UAACGGACCCAAUCUAACUUUUCUAGUACAUUCGGUUUGAUGAUAAAAAACGCACCUGGUGCACAGUAAUCAAGGCCGAUCCCCCAGAUCCUUGUCAUUCAUAGCCUGCCGUCGUAGAAUUUCGCUCCUCCGUUUAACCGGUGAUUUUGCUGCAUCUUUUGCAAUAUUCAACCAUGUGAGUUCCAUUAUUUCUUUUUCUUUCAAUCAGUUACAUCUCUUUUAGGUUAUUUAUUAUUGCCCUAAAAUUAAUCGUUAUUGUUGCUUUCAUUUGUUUGCCCUUAUUACAAAUCGAUAAUAUGGUCGUCCGUCGACUAGCAUUUUACUCUCUUUUGGCGAAGUCGAUUUGUUUCAAUUUCAGAAAGCCACGCAGUUCUGAUAAAAAGGGAAAAAGAACUUUUUUUUAUUAGUUUCUUACGUACUGUUUGGCUAGCCGUUGUAGCUUUUUUUGAAUUUGAUUAUGAGCAUAUUUGGCUUUGCUUAAAAAGAGAGAGGAAAAAAAAAAGUGAUAAUGAUAAUUAGACGUUAUUCGGGUUUUCGAAUGAGCUAGAAAAUUACUGUUCAAUUGCUUGUGGUGCCCCUGUCUGGUUAUGUAAUAAUUGCUUCAUUGGUAUAGAACUCUAGUUUAGGCUACUGAAUUGAGCGCGUAAAUUUUUUCUUGGUUAGUUAAGGACUAUAUUGUUCAAUUCU